UACGAAGGACCCGAGCGUUAUCCGGAUUUAUUGGGUUUAAAGGGUGCGUAGGCGUCCUGGAAAGUUACGGUUGAAUUCUCCUUGCUUAACAAGGAAACUGGCCGUAAAACUAUCAGGAUUGAGUACAUUUGAAGCGGGCGGAAUGUGUCAUGUAGCGGUGAAAUGCUUAGAUAUGACACAGAACACCAAUUGCGAAGGCAGCUCGCUAAACUGUAACUGACGCUGAGGCACGAAAGCGUGGGGAUCAAACAGG
rnacentral:rRNA from 1 species